CCCGGAUGUUAGCGGCGGACGGGUGAGUAACACGUGGGUAACCUGCCUGUAAGACUGGGAUAACUCCGGGAAACCGGAGCUAAUACCGGAUAGUUCCUUGAACCGCAUGGUUCAAGGAUGAAAGACGGUUUCGGCUGUCACUUACAGAUGGACCCGCGGCGCAUUAGCUAGUUGGUGGGGUAAUGGCUCACCAAGGCGACGAUGCGUAGCCGACCUGAGAGGGUGAUCGGCCACACUGGGACUGAGACACGGCCCAGACUCCUACGGGAGGCAGCAGUAGGGAAUCUUCCGCAAUGGACGAAAGUCUGACGGAGCAACGCCGCGUGAGUGAUGAAGGUUUUCGGAUCGUAAAGCUCUGUUGUUAGGGAAGAACAAGUGCGAGAGUAACUGCUCGCACCUUGACGGUACCUAACCAGAAAGCCACGGCUAACUACGUGCCAGCAGCCGCGGUAAUACGUAGGUGGCAAGCGUUGUCCGGAAUUAUUGGGCGUAAAGGGCUCGCAGGCGGUUUCUUAAGUCUGAUGUGAAAGCCCCCGGCUCAACCGGGGAGGGUCAUUGGAAACUGGGAAACUUGAGUGCAGAAGAGGAGAGUGGAAUUCCACGUGUAGCGGUGAAAUGCGUAGAGAUGUGGAGGAACACCAGUGGCGAAGGCGACUCUCUGGUCUGUAACUGACGCUGAGGAGCGAAAGCGUGGGGAGCGAACAGGAUUAGAUACCCUGGUAGUCCACGCCGUAAACGAUGAGUGCUAAGUGUUAGGGGGUUUCCGCCCCUUAGUGCUGCAGCU
rnacentral:rRNA from 1 species